CAUACUUGAUGCCUCCAUUGACUGGUGUCCGCACUCCCACGAGGAGGUCUGCUGGCAUGCCAUCAUUGAGCCGGGCCCGGGCUAUAGAUAUUCCUUCGACCAGCAGGGCCCGCACAUCGAGAGGCGGAGCUGGACUAGUCCCCCCGAUUCCCCCGACUUAUCAUCAGGUCGGAUGGCCAUAUAUCCCGACUGAGUUGACAGGAUGGCGAUACGGGACUUCCUACCCGAUUCCGAUAGAGCCAUCCGGGGGGACUGAGUCAGUGAUCCUGACUCACCACCGCCUACCAGGGAGUAUACGGAGGGGUUACUCGGGUUAGUAGGCUCACUCGAGGGCGUGGUCCUGCGGAGAGAGACGCAGUUGUCCAUCGUCGGCGUCCCGAUGCCUCCGCUACAUACUGGGCCAUAGGCCGGGCCAUCCAGGCCUUCUCGGAGAGCUGGGAGAGGGGGUUCGACUCACGGCCAAGGCAGAUGCAGAGCACCUGUCAUAGAGGAGGAGUCCAGCGAGGAGGAGGAGUCUGUACAUCCCCAGUCAGAGACAUCCGCUGGCAGAGAUGAUGACUCUGGUUCCGGUUCGGGUAGUGGAGAUGAUGCCGAGGAGGAUUCUAAGGGCGGCGACUCCGAUUCCGAUGAUGAUGAUGGUACAGAGGUUGUUCCGCAGAAGAGGACGAAGAGGGCUUCUUACUCCUGUGCUUGAUAGUUGUUCCUGCUUUAUUUGCCUUUUUUUUACUAGUAGUUGUAGCACA